rnacentral:rRNA from 1 species
AUUGAACGCUGGCGGCAGGCCUAACACAUGCAAGUCGAGCGAGCGGCGGACGGGUGAGUCAUGUCUGGGAAACUGCCUGAUGGAGGGGGAUAACUACUGGAAACGGUAGCUAAUACCGCAUACCAUCAGAUGUGCCCAGAUGGGAUUCGCUAGUAGGUGGGUGAACGGCUCACCUAGGCGACGAUCCCUAGCUGGUCUGAGAGGAUGACCAGCCACACUAGGAAUGAGAAACGGUCCAGACUCCUACGGGAGGCAGGAGGGGGGAAGAUUUCACAAUGGGCGCGAGCCUGAUGAAGCCAUGCCGCGUGUUUGAAGAAGGCCUUCGGGUUGUAAAGAACUUUCAGCGGGGAGGCGUUACCCGCAGAAGAAGCACCGGCUAACUCCGUGCCAGCAGCCGCGGUAAGUC